rnacentral:rRNA from 1 species
GCUUGACUGUAGCUUGUAAUUGGGUUCGGGCUUUUUUUGCGCAGCCUAGGUGGGAGGCAAUGAUGAUUUUUUUCCGGAAAAAUUUGAGCCAUUCGUGAGAGACCACUCUGAAAAGGCUAGAAUCCUAAUAAUGAUCCUUGAAUCAGGGCAUUUGACAGUUGCAGGUGGGCAGUUUUACUGGGGCGGUAUUCUCCUAAAAAGUAACGGAGGGGUGCAAAGGUUCCCUCAAGCUGGACGGAAAUCAGCUUAAGAGUGUAAAGGCAAAAGGGAGCUUGACUGCAAGACCUACAAGUCGAGCAGGGGCGAAAGCCGGCCUUAGUGAUCCGACGGUACCACGUGGAAGGGCCGUCGCUCAACGGAUAAAAGUUA